AUUGAACGCUGGCGGCAUGCCUUACACAUGCAAGUCGAACGGCAGCGGGGACUUCGGUCCGCCGGCGAGUGGCGAACGGGUGAGUAAAGCAUCGGAACGUACCCGGAAGUGGGGGAUAACGUAGCGAAAGUUACGCUAAUACCGCAUAUUCUGUGAGCAGGAAAGAGGGGGAUCUUCGGACUUCUUGCUUUCGGAGCGGCCGAUGUCAGAUUAGCUAGUUGGUGAGGUAAGGGCUCACCAAGGCGACGAUCUGUAGCGGGUCUGAGAGGAUGAUCCGCCACACUGGAACUGAGACACGGUCCAGACUCCUACGGGAGGCAGCAGUGGGGAAUUUUGGACAAUGGGCGCAAGCCUGAUCCAGCCAUGCCGCGUGAGUGAAGAAGGCCUUCGGGCUGUAAAGCUCUUUCGGCCGGGAAGAAAUCGCAUGGGUUAAUACCCUGUGCGGAUGACGGUACCGGCAUAAGAAGCACCGGCUAACUACGUGCCAGCCGCCGCAGUAA
rnacentral:rRNA from 1 species